rnacentral:rRNA from 1 species
GGAAUUGCAUUAGUAGCGGCGAGUGAAGCGGCAAAAGCUCAAAUUUGAAAUCUGGCUCUUUCAGAGUCCGAGUUGUAAUUUGAAGAAGGUAUCUUUGGGUCUGGCUCUUGUCUAUGUUUCUUGGAACAGAACGUCACAGAGGGUGAGAAUCCCGUGCGAUGAGAUGAUCCAGGCCUAUGUAAAGUUCCUUCGAAGAGUCGAGUUGUUUGGGAAUGCAGCUCUAAGUGGGUGGUAAAUUCCAUCUAAAGCUAAAUAUUGGCGAGAGACCGAUAGCGAACAAGUACAGUGAUGGAAAGAUGAAAAGAACUUUGAAAAGAGAGUGAAAAAGUACGUGAAAUUGUUGAAAGGGAAGGGCUUGAGAUCAGACUUGGUAUUUUGUAUGUUACUUCUUCGGGGGUGGCCUCUACAGUUUAUCGGGCCAGCAUCAGUUUGGGCGGUAGGAGAAUUGCGUUGGAAUGUGGCACGGCUUCGGUUGUGUGUUAUAGCCUUCGUCGAUACUGCCAGCCUAGACUGAGGACUGCGGUUUAUACCUAGGAUGUUGGCAUAAUGAUCUUAAGUCGCCCGUCUUGAAACACGGACC